AUUGUCACCAUGGUCAUCCGCAACUAUGUGUCAUACUGGAUUCUUCCUGUCUUUUCCAGCCUCGUUUGGUCCGGCAUGCUCCUUACAUGCUUCUAUACUGGGUAAUACACGAUCAUCGGACCCACUACCGUCCAUGUCUCCACACACGACCUCGCAUAUAUUAGCAAUAUAGGCGCUCAUCGCCUGAAGCCUCUCUUCAUUACGGGCUCCACUCUGAUGACUAUCUCCCUUGACAUCUCUAUCGCCGAACGCUGGCUUCGCCACAACGGUCGCCUGGUCCCUAACACUUCUCGAAGCGAGAAGGUUCUCGCCAUCCUCACCAUAGUUUUUGCCAUUUUGGGCACUGCCGGAAUCAUCCUUCUUAGCGUCUUUCGACGCCGGCAAUCACAAGAAGCUGCACUAUAUAUUCCUGCUUCUGUUUAUUGUCGGCUAUAUUUUCUCUGCCAUCUUUAUUUGCUGGGAGUAUCAACAUCUCGGAAGAAUUGUCAUUUGUCUUCGUUGAACUUGUUCUCGCCAUCAUCUUCGCCUGUGCAACUUUUACGCGGCAUAAUGACGUCGCUGCCGUCUUCGAGUGGAUUGUAGCUUUCAUAUUCACUUUUACAUUCUUAGUUUUGUCAUCGACCUGUUCCCGGCCGUGCGCACGAGGGAGCCGGCGUCCCGUUUUGAAAAUUUUGCCUACGUCGAGAAGCCACCGCGAGCGCCGCCGAUAGCUUCCACGUGACUGCAAACCAUCAUCACAAGGAAUACAACAUCUCUGAGAGGUAUAUUGAUA
rnacentral:lncRNA from 1 species